rnacentral:rRNA from 1 species
AUUGAACGCUGGCGGCAUGCUUUACACAUGCCAGUCGAACGGUAACAGGCCUUCGGGUGCUGACGAGUGGCGCACGGGUGCGUAAUGCAUCGGAACGUGCCCAGAGGUGGGGGAUAACGCAGCGAAAGCUGUGCUAAUACCGCAUGUGAUCUGAGGAUGAAAGCGGGGGACCAAGCAGCAAUGUUUGGCCUCGCGCCUCUGGAGCGGCCGAUGUCAGAUUAGGUAGUUGGUGGGGUAAAGGCCUACCAAGCCGACGAUCUGUAGCUGGUCUGAGAGGACGACCAGCCACACUGGGACUGAGACACGGCCCAGACUCCUACGGGAGGCAGCAGUGGGGAAUUUUGGACAAUGGGCGCAAGCCUGAUCCAGCAAUGCCGCGUGCGGGAAGAAGGCCUUCGGGUUGUAAACCGCUUUUGUACGGAACGAAAAGGCUCUGGCUAAUACCUGGGGCUGAUGACGGUACCGUAAGAAUAAGCACCGGCUAACUACGUG